AUAGAUGCAGAGGAAUCUACCCUUGCUUCAUUCAUCUUUAAACUCCCCAUCACCCACUUUAAAGGAAAACCAUCCAUGUUGAAGGGGAAAACGAACUUAAUUAGGUCACAAAUUUUGAAGAGCAAAUGUUAGAGAGUAAAA